CCUGCUUCCUGCUCUGCUUUAACUAGCUUUGUUUGCGGGUGGGUCAAACUAGUCCUUAUGCAAAUGUGUUACUGGUGACAUCAUCACAUUACAGAAUAAAAAGGCAGGACUUCCAUCAGGGUGUUUCAGGAAGUUCAGGAGCAUCUGUUGAGGACAGGAA